AUUGAACGCUGGCGGCAGGCUUAACACAUGCAAGUCGAGCGAGAGGCGGACGGGUGAGUAAUGUAUGUGGAUCUGCCCGAUAGAGGGGGAUAACUACUGGACACGGUGGCUAAUACCGCAUACUAUCGGAUGAACCCAUAUGGGAUUAGCUAGUUGGUGGGGUAAAGGCUCACCUAGGCGCCGAUCUCGAGCUGGUCUGAGAGGAUGAUCAGCCACACUGGGACUGAGACACGGCCCAGACUCCUACGGGAGGCAGCAGUGGGGAAUAUUGCACAAUGGGCGCAGGCCUGAUGCAGACAUGCCGCGUGUAUGAUGAAGGCCUUAGGGUUGUAAAGUACUUUCAGCGGGGAGGCGUUACCCGCAGAAGAAGCACCGGCUAACUCCGUGCCAGCCGCCGCGGUAAUUC
rnacentral:rRNA from 1 species